UUCCCCCCCCCCCCGGGGCGCCAUGUGCGGCGGCGGAGCGCGGCCGCUAGGCCCCGGCGGGGCCCUUGGUUGGGAGCGGAAGCGAGGCGGGCGGCUGGCACGGCCCCGCAGCCCUGGGCUCCGCUCCGCCCGGCGGGGGAGGGCGGCGGGCGGCCCCGCUGCGGAGGGAUCGGCGGGCGGUGAGCCGGCGGCCCUGCAGCACCAGCGCUUCCUUUGUUCUGGAGCUGCCUUUUGUUGGCGCCAUGUGGUGGCUGGGGGAGGGGCGGGGAGCGGGUUUGUUGCCGUCUCACGCUGUAAAAUGGAAGGGGAUUUACCUCCGCUCGCGUCGCCUCCCGCGUUUUCCUCUUCUUUUCCCUUUUUAACGAAAGGAGCGGAUGGAAGGAGUUGCUUUCUGUGCGGGGGGUGGGCUGGUUCGAACUUUAUGGUCGAUCGCCACCGGCGUCGGUGUAAAUGUUUUGUGUAGUGCAUAUAAAAAAAACAAUCCUGGCUUUGGAAGCCGGUCGGGGAUAAGCUAAGUAUUUCUGGAGGGAGUAAAGGGAAAAACGACAUGAUUGAGACGAUGCGCGGUGUGUUUAAACCAGCAAGAGCUAUUUUGGUGUACUUCUUUGCGGCGUUGUCAGAAAACGGCUUAUCUCUUGCAAGCGGUUCCUGGAGGAGUCAGUGUAGCUUUGCUGUGUUUUGGUAGAGGCAUCCUUGUGUACAAAAGCUGUUUCGUUCCCAUCCUGUUUGGUCUGUUUGUGAGUAUAUGUACUUGGCUUGAAAAUCACCUGCCUGUUUGUCAAGGGGUCUUUGUUAUUCAGGCUGCCCCAUGUAUUUAAUUGGAACUGCCUUUGUUAUCCGAGGGCUGUGAACCCGCGGGUCAGAUCCCUCAGGUUCAACAGAGAGCUGAAGCCACAGUAGCGUAAUAAAUUUUGGCUGUAAGGGAAGGAGUAAGACUUGUACAAGUUUCUUAUAAGCUAGGGCCGGAUGUACCUUUUGCAGGCACUAGGAGGAUUGAGAACCAAACCUUUAAGCUCUGUGCCAAUUUUCGGUUUACUUUUUUUGUGUUCUGCCCUGAAAAGUGGGUGAUACCCUUUCUUGCAUAGGAGGUGACAAUUACAACCCCAAAUCCAUGUGCUAAAACAAGAGCUGUCCAAGGCUAAUGUUAGCAUCUUGAACUCUGAGUAUUUUUUUAAGAGCUGAAACAUGCUUUGAUUUAGCUGCACUAAUACACUCCGGAGGAAAAGAGAAGCUAUGUGUUAAGAAUGCAGGUGUCCGGUCUGUGUGGCCCCUGAAGGCCAAGCCAAAUGCUAGGAAUUUGGCCUUAAUUUCAAAGAGUCUGUAUUGUGUUAUUUAAAUAUAUGUAGGUAUCAGUCAUUCCAAUUACAAAACAAAGGACUGUAAAUUAUGAGGUGUAAUAUUGAUUGCUGUGGCAAGAGGUGAAUUUUGCAUGUGGCAGUAUCCGUAUGUGUACCACAAGCCCAACCUGGUGGCAUAAGGCUGCUUCCAGACAAAUUCCUGUCACCCCACAACCUUUGUAUUUCUUUUGAUCAUUCUGUAAGUGUAAGUCAAUAAUGACAGGGGAUGGGAAGCCACUGUUGGUCUGUACAGGUCAUAGCAGCAGUGCUUGGUCAGUAAGCAAGCUGGUGUGAUGGGAAGGAACCUGUCAAGUUCUCUUUCUUUCACGUAUAAUGGAAAGGCUUAGUAAACUUCAUAAGGCCUUUCUCUAAUGGCUGCAAGAAGCACACAGACUUACCUUGCGCCUUAUGUCUCAUGCUGUGCUUGAUGGUUAAAGAGUGCCCAGCUUGAUCUUUUGGGGAAAAAAAAUAAUAAGGGUUUAGCCUACAAAGUAUAUGGUUAUAUGGUUUCAUUCAGUUUGAGGGGAAAAAGGCAAAGAAACCCCAAGCAACCACAGAGGUGCUUUUCUGAUGUUGCCUUUUGAACAUGAAUGGAUGCUGGUUCUAGGAAAUCAGUUACACAUAAACACGAAACCCCCUUUUUUUUUUUUUUUAUACAUAGACUAGUUUCUAAAAUGCUGCUGGCUCCUAAUGCCAAAUUUAGGUUGCCUAUAAACAGAGUAAUGACAAACUGCUUUAAUCUAUAAGUCUAUAGUUAGGUAAAAAGGCUGGAAUGCUUUUAAAAGCUUAGUUUGUUACCUUGGAAACUCUGCAAAUAGAAAAUACAGCCAUGUUAUUAAUGUUUUAAUUUGAAGUGAAGCGUUUGAAAAGUGCUUUGCUGACUGAUCAAAGUUUUGUUAACUUCACUUCUGUGUUGCACUUCACUAGUGGUUACUUCUUUGAGAUGCUUUCAAGGAUAUUUUAAGGGGGAAAGUGGGCAGGGAAGUACUGUAUUGGCCCCUCAGGAGAGUAGAGACUAAUAGUUAAGAUACUCUGUAGUACUGAUGAAGAUAGAACUAGAUUCAGUAACUAGGCAGGAAGAAGUGCACAACAUAGUAGUUAAGGCAGGUCCAAAGUCCCAUCUGUUGUAUGUGACUGUUCUUGGAGGCCAUGGAUACCUGGUUUAAAUCUGGCAGGUGGUUCUUAGGACUAAAGCUUUUACCACCAUUUGUCCGAAUCCUAAAAGAGCUCGAGUAUUUUGCUUUUGAUGCCUUAUUCUAUCCCGAAUGCUUUCAAAAUAGUACAAAUGAUCCUAGGUUUUUUCAGAAACUGAGUUGGCAGUACUUGAUAAUCAAUACUGCUUUGAUGCAAGUAACAGAAUACUGCUGAAAGAAUGAAGGGGAAUGCACACGCACCUUUGUGCACUCUUGUAGUAUCACUAGCUUUUGGCAAGAUGCAAAAGUGUUCAGCUUUCAACAGUUGGCCCUGUUUCUGACAACGCUGCUGAGGUGUGUACCACUGUGAGCAUCUUGC